rnacentral:rRNA from 1 species
CCCUUAGAUGCUCUGGGCCGCACGCGCGCUACACUGGUCGAUGCAACGAGUUUCUUUCCUUGGCCGACAGGCCUGGGCAAUCUUUGAACAUCGAUCGUGAUCGGGAUAGAUUCUUGUAAUUUUUGAUCUUAAACGAGGAAUUCCUAGUAAACGCAAGUCAUCAGCUUGCAUUGAUUACGUCCCUGCCCUUUGUACACACCGCCCGUCGCACCUACCGAUUGAAUGGUCCGGUGAAGACUCGAGAUUGUGGUCUAGCUCCUUCAUUGGGGCUUGACCGCGAGAACCUGUCUAAACCUUAUCAUUUAGAGGAAGGUGAAGUCGUAACA